GAGAGAACUGUGAAUCUGACCAAAUCAUGGCCACUGGGUGUUCAUCUUUGCAGUGCUGUGUGGAGAGAUGGCCCUGGGAGCUCUUUAUUGAAACAACUCGCAGCACAGUAUUUGAGACAGAGAGCGUUGGCUGGCCGAAUCCCAGGAGGCUGAGAAAUUAAGGUUCCAGCACCCGUCUCUGCCCUCCUGGGGAGGAUUCCUCCAUGAAGGCAACCAGGCCUGAGCAGCCCCAGGCUGGAAGGUGCAAAAGGAACACAUCUAGAUUCAGCCCAUCUCUGCAUUGCUGCAGUGCCCCCAUGUCCCCUCAUUUCUGGAUCCAAGGGGCCAUCUCAAGAGAGCAUGUGGAGGGACUUCCCUGGCGGAGCAGUGGUUAAGAAUCCACCUGCCAAUGCAGGGGAUAUGUGUUCGAGCCCUGGUCUGGGAAGAUCCCACAUGCUGCGAAGCAACUAAGCCUGCGCACCACAACUACUGAAGCCCGCGUGCCUAGAGCCUGUGCUCUGCAACAAGAGAAGCCACCGCAAUGAGAAACCCGUGCACUGCAACAAAGGGUAGCCCCUGCUCGCCGCAAAGAGAGAAAGUUCAAGCACAGCAACAAAGACCCA